rnacentral:rRNA from 1 species
UACAGAGGUCUCAAGCGUUGUUCGGAUUCAUUGGGCGUAAGGGUGCGUAGGUGGCGAGGUAAGUUGGAUGUGAAAUCCUGGGGCUCAACCCCAGAACUGCAUUCAAUACUGCCUUGCUAGAGUACUGGAGAGGAGAUUGGAAUUUACGGUGUAGCAGUGAAAUGCGUAGAUAUCGUAAGGAAGACCAGUGGACGAAGGCGGAUCUCUGGACAGUUACUGACACUGAGGCACGAAAGCGUGGGGGAGCAAACAGG